rnacentral:rRNA from 1 species
AUUGAACGCUGGCGGCAUGCCUUACACAUGCAAGUCGAGCGCGAAAGGGGGCAACCCGAGUAGAGCGGCGGACGGGUGAGUAACACAUCGGAACGUGCCCAGUAGGUGGGGGACAACCUCGAGAAAUCGAGGCUAAUACCGCAUACGACCCACGGGUGAAAGCGGGGACCCAAAGGCAACUGAGGGCCUCGCGCUAUUGGAGCGGCCGAUGUCCGAUUAGCUAGUUGGCGGGGUAAGAGCCCACCAAGGCGACGAUCGGUAGCUGGUCUGAGAGGACGACCAGCCACACUGGGACUGAGACACGGCCCAGACUCCUACGGGAGGCAGCAGUGGGGAAGUUUUGGACAAUGGGGGCAACCCUGAUCCAGCCAUGCCGCGUGCGGGAAGAAGGCCUUCGGGUUGUAACC